GGAGGAGUCGCAUAGCGGUCUAGUGCACCUGUCUUGAAAACAGGCGUGGGGCAACCCACCGUGAGUUCGAAUCUCACCUCCUCCGCCA
rnacentral:tRNA from 1 species